UUUCCGUAGGUGAACCUGCGGAAGGAUCAUUAAUGAGAACGUGCCCUUCGGGGUAGAUCUCCCACCCUGUGUUUACACUACCUUUGUUGCUUUGGCAGACCCGCCCUCGGGCCGCCGGCUCCGGCUGGCCAGCGUCUGCCAGAGGACCCAAAACUCUUGUUAUUCAUGCCGUCUGAGUACUAUAUAAUAGUUAAAACUUUCAACAACGGAUCUCUUGGUUCUG
rnacentral:misc_RNA from 1 species